rnacentral:lncRNA from 1 species
AAGCUGUGGGAGGGACACAGGGGGAGGUAAUUGAUUCAUGGGGGCUGGUCUUUCCUGUGCUAUUCUCUUGAUAGUGAAAGGUCUAACGAGAUCUGAUGGGUUUACCAGGUGUUUCCGUUUUUGCUUCUUCCUCAUUUUUCUCUUGCCACCGCCAUGUUAGAAGUGCCUUUCGCCUCCUGCCAUGAUUCUGAGGCCUCCCCUGCCAUGUGGAACUGUAAGUCCAAUUAAACCUCUUUUUCUUCCCAGUCUCAGGUAUGUCUUUAUCAGCAGUGUGAAAACAUACUAAUAUAGCAGGAAAGCCAGCCCAGGUGGAGAUCCAGCCCAAACCUGAAGGCCAGAGACCCAGGGGAGCCAAUGGCGACAAUCUCCAUCUGAGCCAGAAGGCCUAACAAUAGGGAGUACCAGUGUCUGAGGACAGGAGGAGAUGGAUGUCCUGGCUCCAGCGGAGAGGAUCUUGACACACAGGAUUAUGAGUAGACAUGAAAAUAUUGACCCAGCUGUAGACAGCAACUGUCAGCAGCUGAGAAAUAACCUGGCAGAAGAAGUUUCAUCAGAGAUGCCAUUCCAAGAAAACCAUGGAAGCAGAAAAGAGGAAAGCAGAAACACAGAUGAAGCAAGAGGCUAUGUCCUCUGUGCAUGGAGACAGCAGAUCUAUUAGUAGACAGGAUGAAGAGAAAAGGUGUGAAGAAAAGCCACAUGGCUGAUGUGACAAGGAAGAAAGUGGGUCUCUCAGCUCUUCCCUUCUUGUUUUUGCCCUUUUCCCAGUACCAAGAAAUGUAUUUUUGGGGGCCACAUUCUUCCCACCAUAAUUUAGAAGGAUGCUGUUGCCAGGUUUGAAGACCACUUGAAACAAUAAUUGUUGUUAUUCUGCUAUACUCACCAAGAAUGACAAAACUAUUUACAUACUGGGGAUAGCGUGCUAGAAAAAUUGCUAAACAAAUAGUAUUUUUUCCUUCCAUAAAAUCAGAGUUGUAAAGAGCAAUAUAUUAGGCAUUUUCUUUGCCAGAGAACUUUAGCUAUGAUUUUCUGCUUCUUUAAAAUUCAUAUUAAUGAUCGUAGAUACCAGGUAUCUAAGGGAAAGACUCUUUGCAACAUCUUCUAUAUAUACCCUGGGUGUUUCUGUAUUGAAUUUACUUAAGAUUUAGGCUCUACAGUUUGAUCUCAAUCAUGUAAAAAUAUAUAGCAAGAAGGCUCCUGGGACAAAAACUGAAAUGUUUAUUAUUAAUUUUCUCUGGGCAUUGAAAUUCUGGAUGAUUUUAUUUUUUCAUACUUCUUUCUAUUUUCCAUAUAUUUUACAAUCUGUAUUCAUAGCUUCAAAAAUAAAAUAGUUGCUGUGAAUAAUCACUCUAUGUAAG